GGCUGGUAGGAUAAGCAAAGCUUGUUGAUCCGGUUUUCUUUCUGAAGUUGUAAAUCUAUACCGAAUUGUAAUUGUGCAGGGAAAGUAAAGAAUACAAAGAAGUAGUAUAGAUUUUGGAGAAAUUGAAAGACAUGUUUUCAUCAGCGACUCCGUUGCUUUUCUUCUGGGCAGAAACGGUCCAUCCAAUAUUUGCUUCACUCGAGGGAGUUUAUAGAGUCGGUGUCCAUGUCUCUUCUUUGUAAGAGUAAAAUCUAUGCAUG
rnacentral:lncRNA from 1 species